rnacentral:rRNA from 1 species
GGCUCAGAGCGAACGCUGGCGGCAGGCUUAACACAUGCAAGUCGAGCGGGCGUAGCAAUACGUCAGCGGCAGACGGGUGAGUAACGCGUGGGAACGUACCUUUUGGUUCGGAACAACACAGGGAAACUUGUGCUAAUACCGGAUAAGCCCUUACGGGGAAAGAUUUAUCGCCGAAAGAUCGGCCCGCGUCUGAUUAGCUAGUUGGUGAGGUAAUGGCUCACCAAGGCGACGAUCAGUAGCUGGUCUGAGAGGAUGAUCAGCCACAUUGGGACUGAGACACGGCCCAAACUCCUACGGGAGGCAGCAGUGGGGAAUAUUGGACAAUGGGGGCAACCCUGAUCCAGCCAUGCCGCGUGAGUGAUGAAGGCCCUAGGGUUGUAAAGCUCUUUUGUGCGGGAAGAUAAUGACGGUACCGCAAG